rnacentral:rRNA from 1 species
UGCCAGCAGCCGCGGUAAUACGGAGGGAGCUAGCGUUGUUCGGAAUCACUGGGCGUAAAGCGCACGUAGGCGGACUGAUCAGUUGGGGGUGAAAUCCCAGGGCUCAACCCCGGAACUGCCUCUAAUACUGCUAGUCUUGAGCUCGAGAGAGGUGAGUGGAAUUCCGAGUGUAGAGGUGAAAUUCGUAGAUAUUCGGAGGAACACCAGUGGCGAAGGCGGCUCACUGGCUCGAUACUGACGCUGAGGUGCGAAAGCGUGGGGAGCAAACAGGAUUAGAUA